GACUGGUCUACUCAGGAAUCUCUACGCCAAUAGCAGCUACUGUUUACUUUGCUGGGUGUUGUGGUUAACACUUCCAUUUAGUACUUCCUUUAAUUAUUGCAAGAACCUUCCGAAGUCAAAAGGAAACGGAGACUUGGACAACUUGAACAGUUUGUCACAGUAAUGUAGCCCUAAAAGUGGCAGAACCAGGACAUUGGUCCAGCUGUGCCCCACUCCAAAGGUCAUAGCGUGAGUCACUGCAUGGUGCCACCCUAAACCUGCUUUAAGCAGAGACCACUUACCUCCCACUGUUGUAGAUCUUAGAUCUCAAUUUCAGGUGUGUCCUGAGUACACUGUACAGAAUCCAGCCCAUCUCUAGUGGCGGCCGCCCAGAGCCCUUCCUCCUCUCAGUGGCGACGUGUGCAGCUUUAUAAGGCCGUUUAUGGGAGCUAGGAUUGUCUUUAAGGUGUGUUUGACUUUGGUCAGGGUUGCUUAUGUUCCUUCAGUUGUGGAAGCUGAGCAGAGAUCCAAGGUAUCUUAGGACCAGCUUGGCAGUGCUGGGCAGUAGCCUGGAACAUGGUUUUUAACAUCUUACGCUGCACAGUCAUGUAGUCGCACUUCCAGUACAUCACGUCCCUGCAUCUGUCAUACAGCCCAUCUCUGGGGAAGACCUUGGCAGGUUUGAGAAACUGAAAGGAAGCCACUGUGAUUGGGGUGAGGGUCAGAGAUAGGAAGAGUCAGGGACCAGAGGAGGCAGAGCCUUGGAGACAGGAGUUUGGAUGUUGCUCUUGUGCAAAUAAAUGGUGUUGGGGGUUCAAAGGCAGAGCAGUGAACUAAUUAUGUUUUCAAAAGGUCUGUCUUCUACUGUCCUCAGGCCCUUGUGCCUGUCACUUCUGUCCUCAGAACCUUGCUGCUUACUCGGCCAUCUGUCUCUAGCACGUGCGGACAGCAGCCUGUCGUUUUUUCUCUUUUCCUUGAUUCUGCAGACUUCCCUGGAAAGUUUACAAGAGCCCUGCGACAUGGAAUGCGAAACCAGCCUCCUCCCUCUGAGAGUGCUGUGUGGGGGUGGGAGAUGAGGAGGAGCAGAAUGGAGCCCCCAUGGGGCAGAGGGGCAGCGGAGCAAGAGGGAGGUGAAGUCUCCUGCUUCAGGUGGGUGACAUCGUGAAAGUCACAAGGAUGAACAUAAACGGCCAGUGGGAAGGCGAGGUGAACGGGCGCAAAGGGCUCUUCCCCUUUACGCACGUCAAAAUCAUCGACCCUCAGAACCCGGAUGAAAACGAGUGAUGCUGCUGCCCUGUGCCUGCUGCUUCAUCGUCCUGCCCCACACGCCUCCUUCAGGCGGGGAAGCGUCCUCUCGGGCAGGUCACACGCGCUGCCAACGUCCAGCUUCUGCAGCGGGCAGCCUCCCACACAUUGGAAUGCUCACAGUGGCUGCCCCGGCAUUUGUAUCAUAGUCGUGUUGUCAAAGAGUAGCUGAUUUUAGAGUUCUUUGGAUCAUAAACUGGAAACACUGGUGGAGGCACACAGGUGAGAGGAGGUGCCGAGGACAGGGCUCCCUUCCGGCCAGCGCCCCGCCUGUCCCUGGGCUGACCCAGGGUUCCAGGGGAGCUCGGGCCCACAGCGAGGCCUUGCCGCUGGGAGCCAUGGGUGGUGCCGUCGCUGGCGUGGUUUUCCGUGAAGAGCAGAGGAAGUGGACCCUUCAGGAGAGGGAAUUCUGCCCUAAACUCCCCACGUCAGGCUUUUCUUUUCUUUUUUUUUUUUUUUCCCUCUUGUUGUUUGGUUUGGUUUUAGAAGACUUAAUUAAUUAGACUGGUGUGUUCUGAACAGGUUUUUAAGUAGCAGGUUAGCUUUUGUGAUGAAACGAGGGGUGGCACAUGCCUCUGAAGCCGCUGUCACCGCAGGAACACAAGAAGAAGAGCCCUGAGGCAGAGGCCUGUACUGUCUUGGUUGCCAGUGGUACCUUGUGUUGCCAGAUAGCAAACAACCACCACCACCCAGCAGUUGUGGGCUUCCCAGCUGCGUGCACAGCCUCUUGGACGACGACGUCCCCACAGGCAUCAGAGCCAGGGGCCGGGGGGUGGUGUGAUUCACCUUGUUUGCUGGCUUCCUGUCCAGGCUUUCAGUGAAUGCACCCCUUGAAAGUAUAGGACCCAAGUUUCCUUAAAAAGUCGUUGAAUUCACUAAGGAAUCGUUAAAUUCCACUCACUGAGGCCCAGUUCUCCCUGCCCCAGCAAGCUCCCCAGGCUGCCCAAGAGAGAUGGUGCUGCUAAUGCUGGUUCCAUGGUUCUGGUGUCCACACUGCUCUCCAGCAAGAAAUUGUAGGCUCUGGGCCUUGGUUGAUGCAUUUGAUGUCUAAUGAAAUGCAUCAUUAACCAUUACUGAUUUGAUGUUAAGGUUUCCCUGUUGGCUGAAAGAGGCCUGUUCAUACGAGUCAGCUGGUACCAGUGUGUGACCGAUCCCACGUCUAUAGCACACAGCCGACUAGAAUUCUGGAACCUUUGUGCAGUUCGGUGUGCCUGCCCUUCUGGACCCUGCUGAAGACAGGCCUCAGCUGAGAAUGAGUCCAGCAGCCCUGGGGGUGUGGCCUCAGCCUGAUAAGUAACUGUCCUCCCUGAGCAUCUGCUGUAGCCUCGGCCCUGGCUCCCAGGGGUCUUGAGUUUUGAGGUUUUGAGCAGUUAUUCUGGUCAGAACCAGCAAGGCCACCAUGUUUCAAUUUCUCUUUAAUCAAAUGUUCCAUCAGGUAGGUAACCAUCAUAUUAAAGACUCUUGAGGGUGCUCACAUAGCCCUGUCUCUCUGUGGUUUUCCUGGAAAAGGCUUCUUUGUGGGCUCUCCCUGAUCAGUGAGCUGUGGCCACCUCUUGCUCCCAAGGUGCCCGUGUUGCAGUCACCUCUUGUUCUGGGUCCAGGCCCAGCCUAGCCCCAUGCAUGGCAAGUGGCAUGUGUGUGGCUGGGCCCCUGCCCUCUACCUGGGGAUGAUGCCUUCCCUGUGGCCUGUAACCCAGUACCUGAGGGGGUCUCACAGAAGGCGGUGACGUGUGCCUUGUCCAAAGAGAGCACACACCCUAAGGCCUUGUUAAACCACCUUUAGCCGAGAGGCUGGGCACCUUUGGAUGGCAGUAGUUGGCUCAAGUACAAGAAGUCUAUGGCCUUUUGGAAAGCAAGGUUUUCUUCCAGCCAUGUCUGCUGACCAGUAAACAGCGUGACCCACCUAAUGGGGAUCACUUCCGAAUCAGAACACCCUGCAAACCUAGGUUUACUUCAGAAGGCGUCUGUUCAGUCCGUCAGCCCAGGUGCAUGUCUCCAGGGCUGCCCCAGAGAUUCGGAGACCCAAAUAAGGUGAGCCUUGAGCUCUGAACUGGAGAUGUGUGCCGAAAGUAGUACCUUUUUGACUUAGAACCUUAUUAGUUUUUUAAUCAGCCAGGGUAAUUCUACUUUUUCACACUAAAUAUACAAGAAACAGCCCAGUACCUUGGCUUUGGGCCUGGGCUCCCCAGGGGUCUGUGAAGACUGCUUCAGAAAGCGACUCAAAUCUUCCAGAGGCAUGGGCUUCCCUCCUGGGCAGGCUUCCUCUUAGGACUGUCCAUUAUUGCUACUUGCUCUGCUCUGUGUGUCACUUAUGAAAAUGUGUGGAUGUUAAAGUAGCUCACUGGGGAAGAGAACAAAUUAUGUGCUAAAGGAAUUGACAAUUUGAUUAAAAAUAUACUUAUCCUGGAAAGGGAGUUGUCCCUGUCACCUCUGCCCGGUGUUGCUGCCCAGGGACACAGCUAAUGAAGAGGAGGACAUGUGGAUGGACUGCCCUUCGACGACUUUGUCACCCAGAUAGGACCCCUUCUGUGCUCACGGUCAGGAACCUGAGGAGAGAGGGCCAGCUGCUCCCUCCUGAGCCUGAGCAUCUGGCCUGUGCUGACUCCCUUCUCCAGCUGUUUACACACAAGGCGGGCCGGGACCGGCGGCCACUGCUCUUGUAAAGUUUGCUCAGAGGAAUAUGAACAUUUUAUUUUUGAAAAGGGAUGGUGUUUUUGUGCCAGGUGUUUAUAAUUUAAUCCUUUAAUAAUAUGUUCAUUAACCUCUUAAAAUGAGUGAGUCCUGAUUGUUUUCACACCGAACCCGAGACACCACCAAGCUCGCCCUCAGCCUCCACCCUCUGGGACCGGAGGCCUGUGUCCCUGUGGCUGCAGCCAGUGGCCCCGAGCUGGGCGUGUGCUCUCAUGGAGUGGAAGGACAGUCCUCUGAGACAGGGUCGUGGUCUCUGUGGGAGGAACAGUGGCCUUGCUUCUUGACGGUCUUCACUGUGUGUUUUUAAAUGACCACAACACAACACAAAACUCUUUUGACCUGUAACUUAAAGAUCAUAAACUUCAGGCAAUAAUAUUUUAUGUGUAAGCUUUUAAAAUUAUUUUUGGGGAUCAUAGCUUGUUUUAUUUUGUGCUAUAAAAUUAACAGUAUUAAAUGACUUAUAUUCUUAGAAUACAUGGAGUGUCUUUUCUUAACAGAUCAGUGCCUUUUUAUUUUUGUAUUCCAUUUUACGUUACUGGUCCCGGCAUCAGACCCUUGUUUCCAUGGCCUGUUUGUACAUUGUCUCAAUAAAACUUGCAUCAGCCGGCGGUGGCAGC